rnacentral:rRNA from 1 species
CCUACGGGAGGCUGCAGUGGGGAAUUUUGCGCAAUGCUCGUAAGAGUGACGCAGCGACGCCGCGUGAAUGACGAAGGCCUUCGGGUCGUAAAGUUCUUUCGACAGGGAAGAAAAUGCCGAUAAGUAACUGUGUAUGUAUUGACGGUACCUGUAUAAGCAGCCCCGGCUAACUCCGUGCCAGCAGCCGCGGUAAUACGGAGGGGGCGAGCGUUGUUCGGAGUGACUGGGCGUAAAGAGCACGUAGGCGGUGUUGUAAGUCAUUAGUCAAAGACUAGAGCUCAACUUUAGUAAGGCUAGUGAUACUAUAAUACGAGAGUAUCAGAGAGGAUUGCAGAAUUCCUGGUGUAGCGGUGAAAUGCGUAGAUAUCAGGAGGAAUACCGUUAGCGAAGGCGGCAAUCUGGCUGGAAACUGACGCUGAGGUGCGAAAGCGUGGGUAGCAAACAGGAUUAGAUACCCUGGUAGUC